UCCCGAUAUGGUGUAGUGGUUAACAUCGCCGUCUCUCACACAAUAACCGGGGGUUCGAUUCCCUCUAUCGAAC